rnacentral:misc_RNA from 1 species
GUAGGGAUCAUUUCCGGUAUUAGAGGCGAAAGCCUUUUUUACUACAAGCUAUCUUGUGCAAUGGAGCACACGGCUCGUGCAUCGAUGAAGCCCGCGGCAAAAAGCGAUAUGUAAUGAGAUUCGUUAGCCUCGAGAUUCAUCAAAUUGGUGAACACAUACUGGACCUCUUCGGAGGUACUUGCGUUAGAGUGCUAGUUUUAUAUCAAUUGAUCCCGGUAAAAGGUGUUCUUAUCUUUUAGGUAUUUACGCCCUAGCUGGUGAAGCCGGAUUUUCUUUGAGAAUCCGGAUUGUCCUUGAAAGUAAAAUAGUUAUCAUAUAAUAUACACGUAAUCGUAAAAAAAAAAGGUAUGAUUGCUGUUGGUUUCCCCGAUCGGCUCUCCGUAGUGAAAACCCUAAGUGUUACGCGUUAUAAUCUAGUAUGUGUACCGCGUGUGGGCGAAACGAAAGGGCGAAAGUGAAGUUUUCCGGAGCUUUUUUUAGACAUACUGUACGGUCCCUUCGGUGGCCCCGAAAUAUGAACUGCGUUUUACGCCCUUCUAAAAAAUUGUGAUGGUUCUGAUGUAUAUUGAUAAUGAAAAAAGCUGGAAAGGCAAUCCAAACCAAACUUAAUUUAACUGGCCUCUAAUGUGAGAGGGUACCCCCUGGAUUUAAGCAUAUUAAUAAGGGGAGGAAAAGAAAUCAACAGAGAUUCUCUUAGUACCUGCGAGGGAAAAGAGAACAGCCCAUCCUGAAUCUAAGGUUUUGCUUUGGAGUUGUGGGGUGCGGAUGCUAUUCCUUGGAUUGAGAAUCGUGAAAUUACCUGCAAAGGUAUUCACAAGUGAAUCCAUAGAGGGUGUUAGGCCCGUUAGCGGUUCAUUCAGUCCUGUAAGGAAUGGUAUCUACGAGUAGGAUUGUUUGAUAGUACAAUCUGAAUAUAGGGGAUAAACUUCCUCUAAGGCUAAAUAUAAUGCACGAGACCGUUAGUAAACAAGUACCGUGAGGGAACGUUGAAAAGUACUCUGGUAAGAGGGUGAAAAGAGUGUGAAAUUGCAUAGGCUUAAGCGUAACCAAGUACCGAAUCCUGCAGUGUUCUCUUUGGUUCAUUAUAGGUAUCUAACAACUCUGUUCCUGCCAUUAGGCGGGGAUUGGGCUACACAUAUCAAUCAUGCCGUUGUAGAUGCGUUGUGCAGAUGAAAGUCUUGUUGCUGUGUUCUUGCUUCACGGCUUGAAUGUGGUACCGGGGCCGUAGCCUGUAGGAUGUGUCGCAAACGACCGGUCAUCUGAUAUAUUGUUGGUAUGGUAUUUGGGAACGUCCCGUCUUGAAACACGGACCAAGGAGUCUAGCAUAUCUGCAAGCCGUAGCAAUUUUAAUUGUGAAGGCGUAAUGAAAGUGUAUUGUGUUAACAGCACAAACCGGGCCUUUCGGUCUGAGUUAGAGUAAAUAUGCUAGUACCCGAAAGGUGAUGAACUAUGCCCGGACUGGUUGAAGCCAGGAGAAUCCUGGUGGAGGACCUCCCGCGGUGCUGACGUGCAAAUCGCUCGUCCGAGCUGGGUAUAGGAGCGAAAGACUCAUCGAAUCGCCUAGUAGCUGGUUCCUGC